GUCGGGAUGGCCGAGCUGGCUAAGGCUCUGCGUUCAGGUCGCAGUCUCCCUGGAGGCAUGGGUUUGAAUCCCACUUCUGACA
rnacentral:tRNA from 1 species